CCUACGGGAGGCAGCAGUGGGGAAUAUUGGACAAUGGGGGGAACCCUGAUCCAGCCAUGCCGCGUGUGUGAAGAAGGCCCUCGGGUUGUAAAGCACUUUCAGUGAGGAAGAACGCCUGGUGGUUAAUACCCAUCAGGAAAGACAUCACUCACAGAAGAAGCACCGGCUAACUCCGUGCCAACAGCCGCGGUAAUACGGAGGGUGCGAGCGUUAAUCGGAAUUACUGGGCGUAAAGCGCGCGUAGGUGGCUUGAUAAGCCGGUUGUGAAAGCCCCGGGCUCAACCUGGGAACGGCAUCCGGAACUGUCAAGCUAGAGUGCAGGAGAGGAAGGUAGAAUUCCCGGUGUAGCGGUGAAAUGCGUAGAGAUCGGGAGGAAUACCAGUGGCGAAGGCGGCCUUCUGGACUGACACUGACACUGAGGUGCGAAAGCGUGGGUAGCAAACAGGAUUAGAUACCCUGGUAGUC
rnacentral:rRNA from 1 species